rnacentral:rRNA from 1 species
UACGUGGGGUGCGAGCGUUGUCCGGAAUCACUGGGCGUAAAGGGCGCGUAGGCGGUUUGAUAAGGGUGUGGUGAAAGUCCGGGGCUCAACCCCGGAUCUGCCGUGCCGACUGUCAAACUCGAGGGCUGUAGAGGCAGACGGAAUUCCGGGUGUAGCGGUGGAAUGCGAAGAGAUCCGGAGGAAGACCGGUGGCGAAGGCGGUCUGCUGGGCAGUUGCUGACGCUGAGGAGCGAAAGCGAGGGGAGCAAACGGG